ACACUUUAAACAGCCACCCUGGAACAGUGAUUGCUACUGAUAACCAGUGGAUGUAUUUCAUCAGCGAUGAACAUUUAUCUCCCAACAUUUAUCUCCCAACAUGGUAGAAACUCUGUGAGAGAAUUGCAUACCCAUACGGAGUCUGAAAACAGAUACUUCGGUAGGGGGUGGUGAUGGAGAACUGCACACAGUACUCCAGCACACAAGCCACUGCUGCUAAUUCAGCAUAUUGAACCAAACGUGGAAUACAUGAAUAUGCCUUCUCCCAGUGCUCUCCUUUCUCCUCGGGAGGAACUGCAUAGAUUCCAAACCCGGUAUAAGGUUUGCCUUGAUCAUAAUAACUACAACUGUCAACAAAGAAAUGAUACCUAAUAAUGGAAUCUGUCUCCUGGAUCAAUGGUUGGAAAAGCUUUUGUUUUUCCUCCGCCUUAGAUCCAAUUGAUCAAGAUCAGGACACAUGCGACUCUCUUUCAUAUUUUGUCGGGCAGUUGAUAACAAAAAUGGUGUCCUAAUAGGUUUUACUGCAAUAUCUUUCCCUUGCAGCAGUAAUGCCCAGUGGGCUAGGCGAGCAUCUGAGACUUGCCCAUCUUUUACCCUAUUGAACAGUAAGAACUGAAGGGGAGUGUGUGAUAAGUGUAAUACGAUCGGGCUCAGGCCAAUUAGAAAAGAAAAGUGUUGUAUGGCUCAACUGGUUGCCAAUAGGUACUUUUCACAAUUGUUAUACUUAAGUUCAAUUGAUGACAUUUAAAUGUGAGGCACAGGCCACAGGUCCGAUUUUCCCACACUCACCACUACCUCCAGAUGAUAGGGUAUUUCAGGAUUUGGAGUGAUCAACACCGGAGCCUUGACAAUGGCCUGUUUUAGCUGGGAUACUACUUCCGUGUGUUGCUCAGACCAUUUCCAUUGGAUGCUUUUCUUUAAUAGUUGGUACAAGGGACCUGCAAUGGAAGCAAAAUUGGGAAUGAAAUUCCUGUAAUACCCAGUAAACCCAAAAAGGAUCUUAAAGUCAUUGGGUCCAGUGGUAAUGGCAAUGUUUGGAUUGCAUCUACUUUCUGUUGUGCCGCGGUUCUACCCCAUUUUGUCAGGGUGAGACCCAAGAAAGAGACACGGUUAGCCAUUAGCUGUGCCUUGGCCAGAUUGCACUUUAACCCUGCUUCCUUUAGGAUCUGUAGGAGCUCAUCAAGCCUUUCUAGAUGCUCCUUUUUAGUCCGUGUUGCUAGACACAGGUCAUCUACAUAUUGAAACAGAACAGUUGGUUUAGAAAAUUGAGACAAUACCUGCCUUAUUUGCGCAUGGAAUAAAGCUGGAGAAUGUUUAUACUCUGGGGUAAACGUGUCCAGGAAUAUUAGACUCCCUGGAAACGAAAUGCAAAACGGUACUGUGAAAUGUGCGCCAAUGGCAAUGUCCAAAAGCUGUUACUGAUGUCAAGGACAGUAAACCACACAGCCUCUGGAUCAAAGGACUUGAUUAAAUCUGGCAUCUUAGCCACUGUCGGGGCACAAGUGGGUGUGACCUGAUUCAGGCGUCUAUAAUUAAUUUUGAGAUGCCAAAAACCAUUUGGUUUCUUCAUGGGCCAAAUAGGGGAAUUGGCAGUGCAAGUACAUCUACGUAGUAUUCCCUGUGUCAGUAAAGACUUGAUAGUCUUUUCUAUGUAUGCGUUUGCCUGUUCUGGGCAAGGAUAUUGUCUUUGGGCUGAUAUAUCUUCUCCUUCUACAACAAUAGUGACUACCAUACAUUCACAAUUAUGUUUGUGUUUAGCAAAGGCCUCUGCAUGCUUGCUAAGUAACUCCUGUAACUCAGGUUGGUCUGCAUGGUUAGCCGCUAUUUUGUUUAAUUCAUAACCCUCAGGUUCAGAGUCCACCAUUGGAGAUACCAUGCCACUGUCAGGUAUGAUCACUGGUGAGUUAUUCUUUGCCUGUUCUACAGUAAGGCACAACAAUUGGUUACCCAAAUUAAGAACAUAUCUGUUUGGAAAUUAGGAAAUUAGUUCCCAACAGGCAAUUCCUUGGGUCUGCUAAUUUCAUCAACGCAAAGGUAUGAACCUUUCUUAGGUGACCUAUCUGUACUUCAAUGGGUAUAGAAAGCAUGGUAACAACCUGAUUACUUGCAAAAGUUGCAAGUAUUUUUGUAGGCCCUGAUGACAGAGAAGAGAAUCUAGGAUCCUUAAAAUGGAUAAUACUGAUUGCUGCCCCAGUAUCUAUAAUAAAAUUCCUGUGUGGCCCCCUACCACUUCAGAUACUGGGGUCUCUUGCUUGCAUCUCUGUCUAAAGGGGCUAUGACUACGCUCGCAGUUGAUUGGCAUCAUGCCAAUUUGUGGAGUAUGCAGACAAAUCAUCUACAGGCUCUCCUAUCUCUUCGGAGGCAGCCAACUCUGGAGGAGAGGCUGUCCACCGGAGAGAAGAAAAUGGGUCAAUGGAGGCCACUGGACAGUUUUAGGGUGCUGGGCCUUGGUCUUCCAUCAUCAGCUCAUUCACGCAUGCUUGGAGUUCUCGAAUAUCCCGUUGUUGAGCCUCAAGCGUCUGCUGCACUGUUUUAAACAUCAUUACAACUGAGUCCUCAUCUUUGUGGAGAGGUGGUGACUUGGGUCUUUGCAGGUGUGAAGUAUUCUGUGUGGCAUCUGAAAAGAAAGGAACACAAUCCCGGGCCCCUAGAUAGGAUCCAAAUGCAUAAUCCUGUUGAGGAGCACACCCACUUGAAGAUCCAGGAUUAUUAUGUGGGUUAGGGUCAUUUUACCAACGCUGGUACUUAGGAAAUUUAGGAAACCCUCAACCUAACCCUGGUUGAGGUCCCUCAAUCCUCACAUUAAUCCUCAUAUUAAUCCUGGGAUUAAUUUGUGGUUCGUGAAGUAUUGCAACAGGGGUCCCCGCCAACCUAUUUUAGGGCCUCCUUGAAAAUAUGCCUUGGCCAGUAAGGCUAAUACCUCUUUAAACAAAUGUCAUCAGUUAUAUGCAUGUUAACCAUUUCCCGUAAAUAGGGAAGAGAGUUAUUAACCAACAAACUAACGUAUGGUGGCUCAUCUGUUUCCUCUUUCAUGUGACUGUGCCAUGCUGCACUUAACCGCAGGCGAAAUUGAUGUGGGGACUCAUUAAAUCUCUGCUUUAGGUUAGAGAGGAUGGCCACACCAGCUUUCCCUGGAUGUUGAUUGUGUUCCAAUAAGGCUACUGUGGCAAAGUACUCCAUAAUGCUUGAUUUAUUGUGCGUUGUAAGAUUUUAACUCAAUCUUCCCUUGGUAAGCCAAACACUUCUGCUGUUUCUUGUACACAUUGUGAAUGCAUUGCAACUGAAGAAUCCUCCAUCAUCCCUACUUGCUUAGCUACCAGAUCUAGGGUCUUAAUGUCUGUAACUGCUGCUACAGGACAAUCAGAAUUAGAAUCUGAGGAUCUUCUCUCCGGAUCAGGAUCUUGACUUCUAUCUGAGCUCGAAUCUAUAACUUCUCCGUUUUGACUUCUUCUACCCAAAUUCAUGUUUUCCUCAUCUGAGUUAUCAGAACUUUCCACUGGAGAUAAUCCUGAAUGAGCAGGAUAAUUUUCCAUAAAACCUCUAUGUCCUAUACUCAAGGCAUCUCCACACUGAUGCAGGACAUCUCUUAGUCUGUUAAGGUCUGGUGUAGUAGGAUGUUCUACCCGUACACCAGGUGAUACCAGCAUAUACCAAGGGAGUGUAGAGGGGCCACGAAAUUCUCAGGACCUAGGCAAGGUUGAUGAUUGCUCAAAUGCCAAUAAAUGUCCACCCAAAGGGGCUGGAUCUCCUGAUCUAUAUGGUGCUAGUGUAACACUGGGUGGAGAAGCAGGAAUUACAUUCCUUGGUUGUUGUAUCUCUCACUGUUGUAACUUAGAGAUUACUACAUCACAUGCACUAGCUACUUGUGUCACUUGUAACACUGCAUCUUCUAGUCCCUGAACAAUCACAGUCUCUAAAGGCACUCCCUCUUCACUGCUACAGUAGGACACUAACAGAGGAGAGGAUAUUUCCUCCCCCUUUGCUCUGUUCAUCUCAUCCUUUACAUCACUAGUCGCCUCCUCUAUGAUGCCACUCAACUCUGCCUCCUGUGGUGCCACCUUGGGACUUCCUUUUUUCUGUCUGCGGACUGCUGGUAGCUUCUGCACUGCUACUUUCCUCUUCUGACCCUCCCAGUGGCUCCUCAGACUCAAUCUCCAACUCCGCUCCUAAAGGUUCUGCAUCAGCCUGAGCUAAUUCUCUCGCCCUAUUUCUAGUAAUUGGCCCUGCAGGUUUUUCUAUCGCCGUUGGUUCUACCAUGCCAAUAGGGAUGGGAAUAGAUUCCUUAUCCUCCUUUUUUCCAACUCUCUGAUUCUUUCCAACAGUGUCGAUGGUCUGAUUUAUAGCCCUCCAGCGAUUUUAAGCUGGCAUCCAAAGUUUGCUGGGCUUUCCUGAGUAACUCUAAUUUUUUAUUCAGUUUCUUUCCCAGCGAAUUACAAGCCACGAGCAGACAUUCAACAGCUAUUCCCUUUACCAGUUUAGCCUUUCCUUUUUUCUGCUCUGUUUCUACAUCAAAUACCUCACUCACAAAACCCCAUGGGUUACAAUGCUCAGAGAUCAUCUCGCUAUUCUUCAACUGUUCUAAACCUCCUCCAUGUUGCUGAAUGUAUUUUUUAUGGCAAAGUUUUCUAAAGCCAUACUACGAGCAACUCCAACAGACUCUACUCUUUCCCUUGCUCCACUCACCUUAAUACGUAACACAGAAUUCAUUUUAAUUCUAAAACUUCACUAGCUUAUGUAAUAAACUAUAACGAAUACUCUGCUGUUUUUACUCUGAAACUGAAGGCGUCCCUUCACAGAAACAACAGGAAACAAUACCCCAAACCAGUUUUUACACUUAGUUCAAUAAGUCCCAAAUGAAUGAUAGAGAGGUGGGGGUACAUUCCCUCUCUUUCCUCGAUGGCUCGUAGCUGAUCGAGAGGUCUUUUCCCUCUGUCGGGAUCUGCCAAACAGCUGGGGAAUACUGAAGCAGAUGGAUCAGAGGUGCAUCCCAGGAGAGUUUAGGGGACUGAAAUAAGGAGCUCGAACCGUUCAAGUUCUGAAUUAUUGCAGCUUCUUGGCAGCAAUUAAUAACUAGGUUUAUCAACUCCCCCGCCACCACUAGUGUGGGUCAUUGGACCCAAUCCUACUGCUAAUAUCUUAUCAGUACCAUUCAUUACAACUUCAACCUUUAACAAAGCCCCUUAAAAGCGCAUAACACGUUAAAUAAUAACACUAUUUACUGUUUAUAAUAUUACUCUUUAUCUUGCAAGAUUAAAUUUAAAACCUCUAAAGUAAAAUUCUAAAUCAAACCACAAUACAGAACCAGAAAUACUGGGACUGCUGCCAAGCCACAGUCACAGGAAAUCAGGCUCCUGUUCUCUUAAGAGUGAGUGAGACACACAAUGUUGCUCUCUAACUUUCUGUAAAUUUAACCAUUUACUUAUGCCUCAGGUGAGAUUUUCAGGAGUCUAAGGAUGCCUGGAAUCCCUGAAAAUUCCUGUCACACACUUCUCGAGUCUCCUGGCUGGCUCACCAGUAUGUAGCCUGAUUUAGGGUGUGUUAAUAUUAUUAAUUUGGAUAAUAUGGGUUUUUGGCUCACCAAUCUGUUUGAUCAGAAGUUAAAAGUUCUUGUCUCAAAUCAGGCUCCACAGAAUUUACAAAGGACCCUUGGGGGUGUGACAGGAAGCUCACACUGAGACAGAUAUAGCCGUAAAGACUUUUUAUUAAAAUCAAUGAAAUAGUAAGUAAAUGGUAAAAUAAUCAGAGUUACAAAGUUACAGCUGUAUUACUGUUAUUCAAAAUAUACAUAUGGUAAUACAGUAUUAUAUGCUACAAAGCUUUGGUUAAUAUACUCACACCCUUCCUUGAUGACCUGGUGGUGAGAGACACAGGACCAGCCCCGCCUCUAACAGUUCAGGUUUCUCAACUCUUGAGUGAGUGGUGCAGAGCUUAGAAGAAACUAAUGCUAAGAGCUAUCAAAGCGAACUUAGAGUUUACUUAACUAACUUAAACUUAAAACCUAAUAAACAAAACUAAGAACAAAAGUUUAGGGAAACCAAGCUUAGCCUAGUCCCCUUGGAACUUAAAGUUU